rnacentral:lncRNA from 1 species
UUAUUUUAAAGACCAAUCUAAACGGUGAAUGAUUUGAUUGAAAGUGAGGGGCCGUGAGGGUUUUCUACAUUUCAACCCUUUGCUAGAGUCAGAUGUUGCAAUUCUCUGUCCACAAAAGAAUGCCCCCUUUUUUUACUCUGUCUAAUUUAAUGCCCAGAUCACGGUGGCAGAAAUUUCCAACCAAACCAGAACUAAGACUGAUAGAAGGUAGCAAUCCAAAACAAAUAAUUAUGCGAAAGUCAUAAAAAUUCAGACUGGUGUGUUUCGUCAUGCUCCAAAUGUCACGUUAAUAUGCAAAUUUAUGAUCUUUAUCAACUCUAAAUUGAACCAAACAACCUUGAGUUACAAGACUGUAUUUUUCUCCCCAACAAUUUAAAAAUUUGAAGUAGUUGGAUGUUCACUUGGAAGUCCCUUUUCCUGUGUGUGGUCAUUUUCCUUAAAAUUGUGGUGUGAAAAUUUUACCUCAGCUAGAUCAGUCUUCUCAUAAAAAGGAAAUUGUGACUGUGAAAAGUAAUCUGUGACUAUUUCCUCCCAAUUUUUCAGGCGGUUAUAUACUAUAAUUGAUCGGUGUGUCUGAAAUAUAUUGUGUUUUGAUAAUUAAAAUACGUUUAUUUUGCUUGCCAGGUGACGGGACGAAAGUGGGCUGACAGGCCGAGUGACGAUGAUGAUGAUGAUCAUUUAGAAAGUCUUGGGCGGAAAGUGACUGAAAUUUUAAACGUUAACUCAUCCCACCACCCGGAAGACAGCUCUGGGCGAGAUGAGGAUGACUCAAACUCAAAUCAUCUAGUUUAUAUUCUCAGGCGAAAAAGCUCAGGACGAAGACCCAUAGGACCCGGUUCCAGAAUCAGGCGGCAUCAUAGGUCUUCCUUCUCUUCAAUCACUCGCUGUGCAAUAGAUGAUGAAAAUGCCGAUAAAAUGUCAAUCUCUUCUGACUCACAACCUCAAAAGAGAACUGCAAAUGGUAUAAGUUCCGACUCAGACAUUGAAUCCAACAGUCUCAGACCGCAACAAAAUCUGGACGAACAAGGUCUCAACCGUCUACAAAGCAACUGUAUUGUCUAGUUUACUCUGUCGCUCACAGUUUAAUAAUUUAUUUUACUUAAGUUACUUUAUUGUUAAGUUACAAUUGUUAGUCUGAAAUAUUUUUUAACUUCCAAGUGUAGCUUAAGUCUUAGUAGGUUCUGGAUGGGUCUUUGGUUCAACCAGCCAGCGGCUCAUUUUUAACAAAGCGUGCUUUCGGUGUCUCAAAAUAUGACAAAGUAUUUGUUUUUGUUGUAGCUAGUCCAUAGUUUGUGCUAAGAAGAAUCUCAACUCUCUCCUUUUUUUGAAGGAAGUUGCAAUUAUAUACAUUCCCAGUGAAAGUUAUCUUCUUUUCCCCUUCAGUUUUCCUCUUUUAACUGAGAGUCAUUCUAAAAGUAAGUUUUGUCGUUUACAUCUCAGAAACUUAGAAGGGUAAAUCCAAUAUGUUAUAAGUUCCCGAUUCUUUAUAUAUAGAGCUUUUCUAAGAGCCCAAGUUUUUGAAAUUUGGACCAGUAGUUAUCAAGAAACUCUAUUUUUAGGCAGGAACCCCCCCCCCCCCCCCCCCCCCGAAGCUCUGUCCACCAAACGAGUAACCCCAUUGCAGACACUCUCUCUUUAAACAAUCAUCAAAUGGCAUUUCCCGUUAAAUCUUCUCCUCUAGAAUGAUUAAGAGACCCAAACCAAUAUUCGUCCUGUGCAUGCUUUUACGCCCUCUUGGAAAGAGAUUAAUGUAUUGAUACAUUUUUAAAAAUUCAAGCAUAGUCCAAAAGCAAGAUGAUAUUUAGUGACAAACUUGACACAAGUUUUGACUGAGCAAAUCUGCACUGACACAGACAACGGUUUUCUACCUUGUAAUGGCACACACUACAAUGUGGCUGACGACCAUUUUUAUGUCAGUGCAUGUAAGACUAUCGAUUCAGGUUGUCAGAACUUGUUUCAUAAGUCUAUCAAUAAAUAUUGUCUGACUCUGGACUGAAACUGGGAGUAAAUUGUUACAAACGUUGCACUAUUUUCAUUUUCCACAGCCGAAAAACAAAUGACAAUGUGAAAUCUACAAUCUGCAACAGUAUUUGAUGACUCUCACAUCACCGAUACUUUGACCAGUAAAUCGUGGUAGAACAUUUUAGUAUUUUAGAUUUUUGUUUAUAUUCUUUUCUUUUGAAAAAAUCAGGAAAAUCCUGCCUAUUACUGAUUCCUCACACAAAGACAGCAAGAACAAUAAUUACGCAGCUGUGAGAUGUAUAUUGGUGUUGGGUCGACAGAACUCUCAAGUUGUUUUCUGCACAAUUUUUUCGCUCCUGAUCCAAAGUGGGCUGGCUGGAGAGCUCUAAAUAUAAAGUCAGGAUCUUCUUACAAUUGUGAUUAAUCAUUUUCAGUUCCUGUAUAGAAUGUGUGAUCUUAUUUUUUGGAUGAUCGUCGUAGCCAAAGGGGCUUAAUUGUAGCUUGGCAAAGUUUCAUGGGGCUAUUCAUUUAUUUACUCAAAACAGUCGCAAAUUUUGUUAAAUUUUUUUUUUUUUUUUUUUGAGUAUUCUUUAUAGUCUCACUAAAAUUCCCCGAAAUUUGCUGCAUGAAUAUGCACCUGUUGAUAAAUAAAAAAUGGAUUUCCAAGGUGAAACUUUGCAAUGCCAAUCAAGCUCAUCUAGCUCUGACUUGUUACAUACGAUAUUCGUCCAAUGAAGCAAAGUAAAAUGAAUUUGUUUACAUAAGAGAGUUAAUUUCUGGAUGAAGUGUACAGAAUCUCUUUGAAACGCAAAUGAGAAAAACAGAAUGGAAACAAAUAGAAAAUUCACUUUUAUUAUAAAAACGAGACCAUAAAAAUAAUACAGCGAUAAUCAGUUAUGAAUGAAAUGUUGAAAAAGAUUCAUCAGGUUAGCGAACAAGCAAUUAGCAGCACAAGAUAUAGCCUUGACAUGUCUUAGAAUUGAGUCAGAUUAAUGUUGUGCACUUCAACUUUUUACCUUUUCAUUUAAACAGUCCCAUUUUCAAAAUCAUUUGUGUUCACCAUUGAUGCAUCAAGAUUAAAAGGAGAUAAUGAAAUAGUAAUUAAGAGAGCAACAUAUACAUUUGUCAUGCUAAAACUUUCCUUUUUAUCUCACCAGUUCUUUUGAUUAGAUACGAUGCUUGGUACCUAAGGAGUGAUGAUAGACAGUCUGCUUGGAGCAGUGCGUGCCAUAAUUUACAAGAGAAAUUCAAAUAAAUUGACUGUAAGUAACUUAACUGAGGACGUUUGAGCCUAAGUGACGCAAGUAUGUAGGUAGAUAUGCAUGUAAUUAAAGUUAAUGAAAUUAAAACAAAUUAAAAAAGGAACUUAAAAAGUAAUUAUCUCCAUACAUCAUUCUCUUCGAAUCAAGUAGAUCAAGAUCCUUUUCCCAGAAAGUUCUAUUUAAUUCUCUGGUCCAGAAAAAGUAGAAAUUUAAGAUUUAAUGGUACAAGAAAUGAUUACACAAGAAAUCGGAUAAUUUUUUUUUAUUGUAAUAAAAUAGGCAACCUUUCAUACAGCAGAAUGAAAGUGACGACAACACAGAAUCAAUAAAUGCCCCUUAAUUAAUGAUCAACAUUAAAAAAACAUUCUUUUAACAGUUUUUUCCCAUAUAACCCACUUAAAUUUGCUCACUUUGACUAACAUUCAUCAAUAUCACUUGACAUUUUUCCACAGUCAAGUUCGUUUACCAAAACUACUAUGAAUUCAAUUUUGAAAAAUGUACUAGCGAAACAUAGGCAAUUCAACUUAAAAAAAUAAAUAAAUUAUCAUUGAUUUACCGAAGACUCAAGGAAGCAAUUUUGUGGUGCACGCACGUAAGAUGUCUAAUUGUUAAUUUUUCAGGUACAAAAUUAGA